rnacentral:rRNA from 1 species
AACGAACGCUGGCGGCAGGCCUAACACAUGCAAGUCGAACGCCCUAGCAAUAGGGAGUGGCAGACGGGUGAGUAACACGUGGGAACCUUCCCUAUAGUACGGAAUAGCUCAGGGAAACUUGAAGUAAUACCGUAUACGCCCGAGAGGGGAAAGAUUUAUCGCUGUAGGAUGGGCCCGCGUCGGAUUAGCUAGUUGGUGAGGUAAUGGCUCACCAAGGCGACGAUCCGUAGCUGGUUUGAGAGAACGACCAGCCACACUGGGACUGAGACACGGCCCAGACUCCUACGGGAGGCAGCAGUGGGGAAUAUUGGACAAUGGGCGCAAGCCUGAUCCAGCCAUGCCGCGUGAGUGAUGAAGGCCUUAGGGUUGUAAAGCUCUUUUAGCAGGGAAGAUAAUGACUGUACCUGCAGAAUAAGCUCCGGCUAACUUCGUGCCAGCCGCCGCCGUAAGAC